ACGUUUCUCUUGCGAAUGAAUUCAAGAAUAGAGCCCCAGUUUACAAACACACAACGUGGUGAUGUGUGGUGGGUGAUGCAGAAGAUAUAUACAAAGUAAUUUUUAUCCAAAUUAAAUAUUUAUUGUUUAGUAGACUACUUUCUUUGUGUUAUUUGUCCUUUCGAAAUAUCAGUAUAUGUGUGUAUAAUUUGUUGAUUUAUUAAUUUAAUAAAGUGAAAAUUCUCCGAGAAAAACGUUGCUUGUAACCUCUCUAAUAACAAAUUUUUCUUUCGUCCGCCGAGCCACGUUUCGUUUAAUUUAAUGCCAUACGACAAGAAGAUCACGCGGCGCAGCCGAUCUCGCGACCGUGAACGGGAGCGCGAGCGCGAUCGGGAGCGACGUGACCGUCGGCGUUCCAGAAGUCGAUCUAAGGAUCGUAAGAAGGAUCGAAAGCGGUCUAGGUCGAGGGAACGAUCGCGGGAGCGCGACAGGUCACACGAGCGCGACAGAUCGCGAGAGCGGGAUCGUGACCGCUCGAGGGAGCGAGAUCGCGAGCGCUCUAGGGAGCGUCGAGAUGUCAAAGAUAGGACAUCCAAAGAUGAAAAGAAACGCAAAGGUAGUCCUGCGGUCAUCGAAGAUGACUCGAAGAAGGAUUCAAAGGGUAGUGAUGCUAAGAAGGAAGAAGAGGAAACAGAAGAGAAGGUUAAAUCAGUGAAGAAGGAGCCAUUGAGUUUAGAGGAGCUAUUGGCUAAAAAGAAAGCAGAGGAGGAGGCUCGAGCCAAGCCCAAAUUUCUCACCAAGGAGCAACGAGCGAUCCAGGCAUUACAGAAGCGCCAACAGGAGGUAGAGGCAAUCAGGAAGCAACAAGAGGAAGAGCGCAAGCUGUUUUCUCAUGGCGAUAAUUCUAUCAAGGAAAGAGAAUGGGAUGAUAGAGAUAGUAGGAGGAGAGACGGACAACGUUUGCGCGAGGACGAUAUCAAGGAUAAGGAUAAAGAAAAGGAAGUGGAGGCUAUUAAGGAGCGAUAUUUGGGUCUAGUGAAAAAAAAACGGCGAGUCAGGAGGUUGAAUGACAGAAAAUUUGUCUUCGAUUGGGACACCUCGGAAGACACCUCGGUGGAUUAUAACAACAUUUACAAGGAGAGACAUCAAGUACAAUUUUUCGGCCGAGGCAAUCUCGCGGGUAUCGAUAUUAAAGCGCAGAAACGGGAUCAAAGCAAAUUUUAUGGUGAAUUGUUAGAGAAGAGACGCACAGAGGCUGAGAAGGAGCAAGAGAAAAUGAGAUUGAAGAAAGUUAAACGAAAAGAGGAGAAACAAAAAUGGGAUGACCGACACUGGUCCGAAAAAGCAUUGAACGAGAUGACCGAACGUGAUUGGCGUAUCUUCAGAGAGGACUAUAAUAUUACAAUUAAAGGUGGUCGUAUUCCUGAUCCCAUUCGCUCCUGGAAGGAGUCUGGCUUCCCGAAGGAGAUUUUGGAUAUCAUUGACAAAGUUGGCUAUAAGGAUCUCACGCCCAUUCAACGACAGGCUAUUCCUAUCGGCUUGCAGAAUCGCGAUAUCAUCGGCGUUGCUGAAACUGGCUCAGGGAAGACUUUAGCCUUCCUUAUUCCUUUGCUAUUAUGGAUCACUAGCUUACCAAAAAUUGAGAGGCUUGAGGAGGCGGAUCAAGGACCCUACAGUAUUAUCUUGGCACCUACUCGUGAGUUAGCGCAACAAAUAGAAGAAGAGACCAACAAAUUUGGCCAGCCAUUGGGCAUCCGAACUGUUGUGGUGGUAGGUGGUCUAUCGAGAGAAGAGCAAGGUUUCAGAUUGCGAAUGGGUUGUGAGAUCGUUAUUGCUACACCUGGUCGAUUAAUAGACGUUUUAGAAAAUCGAUAUCUUGUAUUGAAUCAAUGCACUUAUAUCGUACUGGAUGAAGCUGAUAGGAUGAUUGAUAUGGGUUUUGAACCAGAUGUUCAAAAAAUUUUGGAGUAUAUGCCUGUAACAAAUUUGAAGCCAGAUAAUGAAGAUGCAGAAAAUGAGGAAAAACUUUUGGCUAAUUAUAACACUAAAAAGAAAUACAGACAAACAGUAAUGUUUACCGCCACAAUGCCACCCGCUGUAGAACGGCUUGCUAGAACUUACCUGAGAAGGCCGGCAGUAGUGUACAUAGGUAGCGUCGGUAAGCCGACAGAACGCACCGAGCAAAUAGUUCAUAUAAUGGGCGAAGCUGACAAACGAAAGAAACUUAUGGAGAUACUUAGCAGAGGUGUCGAACCGCCCGUUAUCAUAUUUGUCAAUCAAAAGAAGGGUGCAGAUGUCUUGGCGAGAGGCUUAGAAAAAUUAGGAUAUAAUGCUUGUACUUUACAUGGUGGCAAAGGCCAGGAACAGCGUGAGUACGCUCUGGCAUCUCUUAAGAGCGGAAGCAAGGACAUAUUAGUGGCCACUGAUGUUGCAGGACGAGGUAUCGAUAUCAAGGAUGUAUCGAUGGUCAUUAAUUAUGACAUGGCUAAAACCAUUGAGGAUUACACGCAUAGGAUUGGUCGAACCGGCCGUGCUGGUAAAGCUGGCCUAGCCAUUUCUUUUUGUACGAAAGAUGACAGCCAUUUGUUUUAUGAUCUUAAGCAAACAAUACUUGCUAGCCCAAUAUCUACUUGUCCGCCGGAGCUGCUUAAUCAUCCAGAUGCUCAACAUAAACCUGGAACGGUGGUCACGAAAAAGCGACGAGAAGAGAAGAUAUUUGCUUAAUCUUUUUUCAUGACUUUGGCUGUGCUUCUUAAUAAAUCAGUAAUAAAUAAAAUCUCCAUGAACGGAAAAAAAGAUAAAGUUUUUACAAUUAUAGAUAUGGAGGAGGUGGAAUUACAUAAUUACUAUCAUUGACUUUACAUUCCUCUUCCCAGUUAUCUGGUAUCAUCGGUUUCAAGAUCUCUACAAAUUUGUCAAGAGGACAUGCAACAGUGCAUCCAGGUAUUGUCAUCGGAUAUGGUUCGUGAGCUGUUGUAUUCCUUAGAAAUAUCUGCAGCAGAAUAUUUUCGUUGUAGAAUUAUCAGUUCACAAAAAUUGAAAUAUUUGUAUUUAAAAAUCACAGAUUUCACUAAUGUCCAAUUCCGUCAUCUGUAGAUAAGUGUUUGAUAACUAUAUCCAAAAGAUAUCUCAAAUUAUAACUUCGCUUCGCUAAUAGAAUAUAAUAAUGUAUAGUAAAAUUUUAAUAACUUUGUAUUGAAAGUUAAUAGUAUGAAAAAUAGCUAUUCAUUAGAUAUGUAAUCAGAAGUUUCAGUGAAAAAAAUAAAUUUUAACUAUCUAACGAAUAUCUUUUUUGCUGGAAAAUAGUUAUCAAAAGGUAUGAAGGAAUCGGGUAUAAAACAUUUAAUAUGAAGCUCUAGCAAAAAAUUUUUAUAUUUUAAAAUAUUUUAUAUUUUAUAUUUUAUAAAAAUUAAAUUGAUUUAAUUAUAAAAAAAUGAUAACUACGAUUUGGUGGAUUCGACCCUAGCAAUUUUAUGACUGUUAUGAACAAUUAUGAAUUAAAUUGUUAAGUACAACUUUUCGACCUCAUCAUUAGGUCCUUUUCAAGUAUAAAAUUGAUAAAAAUUUCCAAAGAAACAUUGUAGUCAAUGUACUUGUGGCCACAAGUCACAGAUCAUACACUAUGUAAAUGAACAAA
rnacentral:misc_RNA from 1 species